AUCUUUCAAAUUGCUUGUCAGUAGUGGUCAGUGGAAAAGGGAAUUGCUGGAAUUCCUGCUGGCAUUCCUGGUAUCAGAAGUACUGCUCACCUUCUGAGAGAUUCCCAGGAUGUAAGCAAUCAAGUGUUGCUUUACCAGCUAUGGAAAGACAGAAUCUUGCUGAAGAGCUGAGGCAUUCCUUGGAAAGUGAGUUUGCAUCUUUUGCAAGGGAAAAAAGGACAGCUUGGCUGUGAGAUUGUUUUUGUAUGUAUGGACAGCACCCCAUCUUGUCAUCAGAAUAGGAAACUAUCCAAUAUUUGGGUCUUCACUCAUGUGAUAAAAUCACUUUAAAGGAAGUUUUAUAUCACAAGAGAUACCUGAACAUUUGUUUCAAAGCAGCUUAGAAGCAGCUUAGCCAGGAGCUUCUUUUUAUAUAUAUAUAUAUAAAAAAACCAAAAAAACAACAAACCUGAAAGUAUAUAUUUGAAGAGC
rnacentral:lncRNA from 1 species